CAAAACAAAGAAAAGCCUUUCUCUUUCAUAGAACUGCCCAUUCCUUGGCUUCCUUCAUCGUUGGCUGAACAAAAUCCUUCCUUUUCCAAUGGAGAAUAGCACUUUGAAGACAAUGGAUCCGGAGCAGCUGAGGGAGUAUGGUCAUAAAAUGGUGGAUUUCAUUGUGGAUUCCUAUAAAAUCGAUUGAAUCUUCUUUCCCUGUUCGUAGCCAAGUUUAAGGUAAGUGUGGCAAGUAUAAUAAAUAAGAUAUAAAAACCAGAUUAAAACACCUUCUAUUGUUGUUAAAUCUUCCAUUUCCUUUCAUGGUGAUGCUGUCUGUUUUAAUUUAUAAUCUGUGUUGGCUUGAAGCCUUAAACAAUGAAAUCUUUAGCUAAUUAUUUGUGAAAUUUGAUACUAUGCAUCAUUUUUAUUGUA